CAUUGGGGGCGCAACGCCCUC
rnacentral:snRNA from 1 species